GCAAAACUUGAUUAACAAUGACAUUUGCAUAUUUUAGCAAGUUAAAGUUUUAGAGAACUAUAGCCAAGAUCUCUAUGUGAUUCUGGAUUUAAUGAGCGCACAAUUUACAAUCUCUGAAACCUACAUGGUUGCCUACUGAUUGCAGGUAUAAGAGAUUAAACCUAUAGGUAUGAUAUCUAGGCAUUUUUACGUAGUAACUAAUAGGGUAAUUACAGUAUUCUGUUCAAAAUUUGUUAACGGGUCCUAUAGGCAUGGUUUCUUGUGAUGGUAAUUAGCACAUCAUUAAAGAUACUUAAAGAAACGAGUGGGACAAUUUAUUUAUCUGAUUCAGCCCCUAUAUGCAUGAUUUCUAUAAUUAAGACAAGUUUUAGAUCCUAUAGGCAUGAUUUCUAUAAUUAAAACUGAAUUCUGAUCCUAUAUACAUGAUUUCUAAUAAGCAAGCGUAGAACAUACUUGAACCAAUGAAGAACCUAUAGGCAGGAUGACUAACAUAUAAUAAUUGAACAUUCUGAACAUAACAAUAUACCUAUCGGAAAGAUUUCUACAAUAAUUGGAACCUAACAUGUUUUUCAGCAAAGAUAAAAUACAUAUAGGCAUUAUUUCUAACACAUGAUAGCUGAACAUGUUUGAACAUAAUAGCACAUUUAACUAAGUAAUGAACCUUUUGGAAAGAUCUCUAAAAAUUUUAGUGCAAGUAUAAGAUAAAGACCGUUCCCCAAUUUCACUAAUACCCCAAAAUAUUAUUACAUGAAUUAAUACAGACCCAUAAUGAAUAGAAAUAAACUAUAAAGUAGAAUAGCCAUAUGGAGCCUACAGUAGGCCUAAAGGUACACCUGGCUCGGUGAGGCCUUCAUUCUCACAAUCCACAAUAACCCCAAAAUUACAUAUUCAUUGACAUAAGGCAGCUAGGACUUGAGCAUAUAGAACCAAGACCCUUGUGUGUCAGAGUUCCCAAAGGUUUCAAGAACCCAGGGCAGUGCUCAUACUAGGGAGGUUAACAAAGAUAAUUUAGAGGAGAAACAAGGGACCAAACUCUAGUGUGUCAGAUUUUACAAAGGUCUCAAAUAAACCCUAAUGAGUGUUCACACUAGGAGACUAAAGGGUAGAACCUAAGUAGCCUUGACUUUCAUCCAACUAAGAAUAUAAUUUAAAGAACUUAGGUGAUAGGUGAAACAAAGGACAAAAGUUGAGAAAACACAAAUUGAAAGGUUUAAAUAGACACAACUGAAUUAAAAGAACAAGCUUAAUAUAAACUGAGAAACAGAUUCAACACUUAGCACAAAUAAUCAUAGAGAGAGUAGGUUAUAAUCUUAUCAAAUAGGUUAGAUAACAAUAAAAAAUUAAGACAUAUAUACAAAUUAUUAAUCAGAGUAGAAGGUUAAAUCAUAUCAAGUAGCAAGCAUAGGCAUUCAAGCAUUGUUAUAGUAGUCUAAUUGACAAAAGAUGAUCCAGUUCAUAUCAAAGAUUUAGCCUAACAUCUCAAAGUAUUGAUUCAAACAUAAUGAGAUAUUUGUUCCAAAUCAUAAAAAAAACAACGGGAAAAAGGGGGUAUAUGGUUAAGUGAUCAUGCUGAAUAACACAAUAGCAAGGAGGUAAAUUACGACUAAAAAUGAAGAUCUUAACAUAGGCCAACACAAAUAGGAGGCUCCCACUGGAGGGAUACGGGACGAGUUAGUAACAUGUUCAUGAGCAUUUAUGAUUUUAACACACUAACUAAAUAAGCCUCAAGUAAGUCUAGAUUAAUAAGGCUAGGAAUAGAUAACUUUAGAACUCGUGGCAUUAGAAAAGUAAAGUGUUAAGAGGCUAACACAUAUAAAGUUGAUAGAACAAUGCCUAACAGGACUCAUAAGCAUAUCGAGCCAUUGAUUCAGAAGUAAGACCACAUGCAAAUCAUAGACAAGAAAGAAUGAAAUUGCAGAAGUCAAGUAAGUCACCAACUAAAAAAAUUGCACCAAAUAAUAAAAGCCAUGAUAUUCUGAAUAGCAAGAUCCCAGAACUAAAUAGCCUUGGCUUCUGGCCAGAGAAAAUCGAAGUAUAGAAUGCAAAUCAUAAUAAAGUUUUUCAUUUAGUGAAUCUAUAUCGAGUCCAGAAAAAUUUUCCAAAAGGAAUGGGGGAAGAGGUUUAUAUAGUUGUAGAAAUUAACAUCCAAAUAAGGAAACUCAUCAAUCAAACACAAGAAAAGGAAAUAUUUAUUACAUGGAAUCAGAAUCAGUAAGGGAAAGGGAAAAUCUCAAACCUUAACUAUAGGGAGAGUGUAAAAUCGGCUUAAUAAAAUCAAACACCACAUAGAACAGGACGAACACAGAUGGAAAAUCACUUAAAAUUAUAGAAUCAAACCCGAUUUGGUUCGAUUAAAAGAGGUAUAAAAAACCUAAUUUAUGGUGGGUAAGAAUCAUCAAUAGAUACAGAAAAUAUUCGUACUUACAAAGGAUACAUGAUGAACAUAGACAGAAUAAUUAGAGAAAUCAAAAAUUUGAACCAAUUUGUUCGAUUCUGAUGAGAUUUGUUUGCCAUGUUAGGCAAGCAACUAGGUAACACCAAAAACGAGUAACCAGUAGAGAAGGAACACGGAUAUGGUGAGUAAUUAACAGGUAAAUCCCUUGGCUAAAAGGAUUAGGAAGGGGAUUGAUAAAGGGAGCCGAUAAGGGUUCUUCAAAGGUGAGACAGAGAGAGUUUAGAGGCGGCAGUCUUUAGGAAAUGGGGGAUUAGGGUUAGAGUGAGGAGAUAUAAGGAAUAGUGAUGGGUUUUUCUGUGAUGUUGAUCAUUUUUUAUUAACGACUGAUGUUUAAAGAGUUGUAGGUUAGGUUAAUUAGCUUUUUGGGAUGCAUGAUUAUUUGGUUGAG
rnacentral:lncRNA from 1 species